AGGGUCCAGUAGGUCCUACAGAGUCCAGUAGGCCAUAAAGGGUCCAGUAGGUCCUACAGAGUCCAGUAGGUCCUACAGAGUCCAGUAUGUUCUGCAGGGUCCAGUAGGUCCUACAGAGUCCAGUAGGUCAUAAAGGGUCCAGUAGGUCCUAUAGAGUCCAGUAGGCCAUAAAGGGUCCAGUAGGUCCUACAGAGUCCAGUAGGUCCUACAGAGUCCAGUAUGUUCUGCAGGGUCCAGUAGGUCCUACAGAGUCCAGUAGGUCAUAAAGGGUCCAGUAGGUCAUACAGAGUCCAAUAGGUCAUAAAGGGUCCAGUAGGUCAUAAAGGGUCCAGUAGGUCAUACAGAGUCCAGUAGGUCAUAAAGGGUCCAGUAGGUGCUACAGGGUCCAGUAGGUCAUAAAGGGUCCAGUAGGUCCUACAGAGUCCAGUAGGCCAUAAAGGGUCCAGUAGGUCAUACAGAGUCCAAUAGGUCAUAAAGGGUCCAGUAGGUCAUAAAGGGUCCAGUAGGUCAUACAGAGUCCAGUAGGUCAUACAGAGUCCAGUAGGUCAUAAAGGGUCCAGUAGGUCCUACAGAGUCCAGUAGGUCAUAAAGGGUCCAGUAGGUCCUACAGGGUCCAGUAGGUGCUACAGAGUCCAGUAGGUCAUAAAGGGUCCAGUAGGUCCUACAGGGUCCAGUAGAUCAUACAGAGUCCAGUAGGUCAUAAAGGGUCCAGUAGGUCCUACAGGGUCCAGUAGGUCAUACAGAGUCCAGUAGGUCAUACAGAGUCCAGUAGGUCAUAAAGGGUCCAGUAGGUCAUACAGAGUCCAGUAGGUCAUACAGAGUCCAGUAGGUCAUACAGAGUCCAGUAGGUCAUACAGAGUCCAAUAGGUCAUAAAGGGUCCAGCAGGUCCUACAGGGUCCAGUAGGUCCUACAGAGUCCAGUAGAUCAUACAGGGUCCAGUAGGUCAUACAGGGUCCAUUAGGUCCUACAGGGUCCAGUAGGUCCUAUACUUCAUGUGGAUCCAGGUAAGGGGGUCCAGACCACCUGAUUAAGGGGUUCGGUCAGCCUCAGGUCACGUGAUUAAACUUGUUGCACAUUAAAUGUUUCUUCAGGUUCGGUUUAAUGAGACCGUCCCCCUGGUUCUGGUUCUGGUUCUGGUGGAUCAUCCUCCAGCUGCUGGGAAUCAUCUGAUGGAUCAAACCAUUCAGGGGGUCCCACCCGGGCUUCAACGGACCCAAAAGUCCUGGUGGUUCUGACAGCACCACAGCUACCGUCCGUCUGAGGAGCUGACUCAGGUUCGGUGGUUCUGAUCCGGUAUCUCAGAUUCUUUUUACAGUCGGGUCAGUUUUUAGUCUCGAACACGUCUUAGUCCGCUCCGUGUGUCCGGUCUGCGGUGAGCUGCUGCUAGCUGCGUCAAGCUAACGACCGGAAGAGACAAGAACCGGAAGUGAAGUCAACAUCCUUCAAAAUAAACUUGAAACGUGUUGCUGUAAAAAACAUGUGAAGAAUCCAAAAUAAAUCAGACAAGAAUGAAGAAGUCCAGAACCUGAACCUGACUGAAACCCUGUGGUGGGGAACCUCAGAACCAGAGAGUUCUGCUGCUGAAGGAGGUUCUGUUGGCUCAGAACCAGUUUCUGUUCAGGUUCUGUACAAUAAAAUAAAGACACAAACUUUAA